AAUUUUUGGCAAUGGAUCUCUUGGCUCUUGCAUCGAUGAAGAACGCAGCGAAAUGCGAUAAGUAAUGUGAAUUGCAGAAUUCAGUGAAUCAUCGAAUCUUUGAACGCACCUUGCGCCCCCUGGUAUUCCGGGGAGCACACCUGUUCGAGUGUCUUGACACUGUCAAGCUGGGGUACUUUUUGUUUAGAAAGGUUGCCUCUGUUUGGUUUAUUGGGCUCUGCCGUGUCCCUGCACUUGGGGGAAAUGGGCUAGCCUUAAAAGCAUUAGCAAACUUUGAUAAUCUACUCGGCGUAUUAAUGAUACAUGAACCGCAGAGGACAUUGUUAUCGGUUGCUUUCCAAUCUGGUAUUGGUGGUUCCUUAGGAAUCCGUCAACCAUCUUCAGAUUUGACCUCGAAUCAGGUGGGACUACCCGCUGAACUUAAGCAUAUCAAUAAGCGGAGGCU
rnacentral:misc_RNA from 1 species